rnacentral:rRNA from 1 species
UACGACUACAUAUCAGGCAUAUCAAUAAGCGAGGAAAAGAAACUAACAAGGAUUCCCUUAGUAACGGCGAGUGAAGCGGGAAGAGCUCAAAUUCGAAAUCUUCAAGGUUCUACCUUGACGAAUUGUAGUUUAUAGAAGUGUUUUCUGUUAGUAGAGUGGCAAAAGUUCUCUGGAAUAGGACAUCAUAGAGGGUGAGAAUCCCGUAUUUGACUAUUCUUACUAGCUUUGUGAUACACUUUCAAAGAGUCGGAUUGUUUGGGAAUGCAGUCCAAAAUGGGUGGUAAAUUUCAUCUAAAGCUAAAUAUUGGCGAGAGACCGAUAGCGAACAAGUACCGUGAGGGAAAGAUGAAAAGAACUUUGAAAAGAGAGUUAAACAGUACGUGAAAUUGUCAAAAGGGAAGCGUUUGACACCAGUGUUGUUUCUACGAAAAAUCAAUUUAUGAUGGCUUGAUGCUAAGCUUUAAGACUUUAUCCGCUUGUUGUUUAGUUUUCUUGUCUUUGUGAAUGGACUUUUCGUGGAACAAGUCAACAUCAAUUUCUUUUGCUGUAAAAGGGUAAGAGGAAGGUGGCUUCGGCUUCGGUUGAAGUGUUUAUAGCCUUUUAUCUCUGCAGUCGGAGAGAUUGAGGUCUGCAGCGUAGACUCUUCGGGGUUAGAUACGUCGGUGCUAAGCUAUAGCUUUUCAUAGACAACUUGUUGACCAUGUUUAGUCAUGUGGCUUACCCGCUGGCGCUAUUUUACCUACGCUUAGGAUGUUGACUGAUAUGUAGUCGUA